rnacentral:rRNA from 1 species
AAACACAUGUUUCUGUUAAGUCGAAAGACGACGUAUAGGAGCUGACACCUGCCCGGUGCUGGAAGGUUAAGGGGAAAUGUUAGCAUUAGCGAAGCAUAGAACUUAAGCCCCAGUAAACGGCGGCCGUAACUAUAACGGUCCUAAGGUAGCGAAAUUCCUUGUCGGGUAAGUUCCGACCCGCACGAAAGGUGUAACGAUUUGGGCACUGUCUCAACAAAGGAUCCGGUGAAAUUGAAGUAAUGGUAAAGAUGCCAUUUACCCGCGACAGGACGGAAAGACCCCAUGGAGCUUUACUGUAGGCUGACAUUGGAUUUCGGUAGUACAUGUACAGAAUAGGUGGGAGGCAAAGAUCCUGGUACGCCAGUAUCAGAGGAGCCGAAAAGUGGGAUACCACUCCUGUAGUGCUGGAAUUCUAACCUUGAGCCGUAAUCCGGUUUAGGGACACUGUCAGUUGGGCAGUUUGACUGGGGCGGUCGCCUCCCAAACAGUAACGGAGGCGUUCAAAGGUUCCCUCAGCACGGACGGAAAUCGUGCAAAGAGUACAAAGGCAGAAGGGAGCUUAACUGCGAGAUAAACAGAUCGAGCAGAUGAGAAAUCAGGACUUAGUGAUCCGGUGGUACCACGUGGAAGGGCCAUCGCUCAACGGAUAAAAGCUACCCUGGGGAUAACAGGCUUAUCUCCCCCAAGAGUUCAUAUCGACGGGGAGGUUUGGCACCUCGAUGUCGGCUCGUCUCAUCCUGGGGCUGAAGUAGGUCCCAAGGGUUGGGCUGUUCGCCCAUUAAAGAGGCACGCGAGCUGGGUUCAGAACGUCGCGAGACAGUUCGGUCCCUAUCCGUCGUGGGCGUAGGAAAUUUGAAAGGAGCUGUCCUUAGUACGAGAGGACCGGGAUGGACAAACCAAUGGUUUAUGAGUUGUAACGCCAGUUGCAUAGCUCAGUAGCUACGUUUGGAAAGGAUAAGAGCUGAAAGCAUCUAAGCACGAAGCCCCCCUUAAGAUAAGAUUUCCUUUAAGUAAGACACCUUGAAGACCACAAGGUAGAUAGGCAGUAAGUGUAAGAGUAGUAAUACUUUGAGCCUAACUGUACUAAUAUGUCGAAAACUUGAUCAA